rnacentral:rRNA from 1 species
UACGUAGGUGGCAAGCGUUGUCCGGAAUUAUUGGGCGUAAAGCGCGCGCAGGCGGCUUCUUAAGUCUGAUGUGAAAUCUCGGGGCUCAACCCCGAGCGGCCAUUGGAAACUGGGAAGCUUGAGUACAGAAGAGGAGAGUGGAAUUCCACGUGUAGCGGUGAAAUGCGUAGAUAUGUGGAGGAACACCAGUGGCGAAGGCGACUCUCUGGUCUGAUAACUGACGCUGAGGCGCGAAAGCGUGGGGAGCAAACAGG